ACGGAGGAUCCAAGCGUUAUCCGGAUUUAUUGGGUUUAAAGGGUGCGCAGGCGGAUCAAUAAGCGAGGGGUGAAAAAUUUCAGCUUAACUGGAAUCGUGCCUUUGAUACUGUUGGACUAGAGUAUAAUUGAGGUGACUGGAAUGUGAUGUGUAGCGGUGAAAUGCUUAGAUAUGACGCGGAACGCCAAUGGUGAAGGCAGCUCACUAGAUUAUAACUGACACUGAUGCACGAAAGCGUGGGGAGCAAACAG
rnacentral:rRNA from 1 species